GAAGACCCUUUUCCCAAGAAAUGGUUCGGCUACGACACAUGUUAAGAAGUCACGCCAGGGGCUGAAUUAAGGUCGACCGUUUCAGCUGCAUUGAUGUGAAGUGAUGCAGUGGACAACUUGUGAGGGUGAUACCAUCCACAUGCACCUUAACUGUGAUGCAGAAAUACAAUAGGAGGAUCCAUCUGUCUACACUUCAAAAUCACAACUCAACCUUAAACAACCCAUAUCUGUUAUGGUAAAACAAUGUGGCGGUUUUCCAGACAGGGCUUAUACUGUUCCCGGGCUAAAAUGCAUGUUUGAGCUACUGUAAUUAAGAAAACACCUUGUACUGACACAUCUCAACAUAUAUCUGUGCCAUUGUUUUGUUUCAAGAUGCACACCAGUCUUGUUUUUGUAAGGUUUGUUUGUAAAAACUAAAGUGCCCAGUCCUGGUUUAAUCUAAACCAUUGGUGACCAAACCUGUGUCUUGAGAUCUACUGUCCUGCAGAGUUCAGCUCCAACCCCAAUCAAACACACCUGAACCUGCCAAUCAAGCAUUUCAGGGCAACCUUAAAAUUAUAGUCAGGUGUGUUUGUUAAAGCUGGGUUAGAACUAAAAUAUGCAGGAGGGUAGAUCUCCAGGAACAGGGUUGGUCACCCCUGAUCUAAACAAAGGGUUUCCAAACUGUGUCCUGCAAAGUUUAGCUCUAACCCUAAUCAAACACACCUGAAGCAGCCAAUUAAGGUCUUACUAAGCAUACUAGAAACUUACUGGCAGGUGCUCUGAUGCAAGUUAGGGCUAAACUCUGCAGGACACCGGCCCUCCAGGACUGAGUUUGGGCACCCCUGACUAAGCCCUGCCUGGGAAACUGCACCAAUGUGUUGAGCUGGCACCAUUGGACAUUACUAUGCCUCUCAUAAUGCUGUUUUAUAAUUUAUUGCAGGGUGAUCUUGCUGAAAGGAUAUUUUUAUAAACCUUUACAAUGUCACCAGAUGUUACCUGUUGUAAAUAAUUAUUUUAUAAACCUUUACAAUCUCACCAGUUGUUACAUGUUGUGGAUUGUUAUUUUUAUAAACCUUUACAAUGUGACCAGAUGUUACCUGUUGUGAAAAGUUAUUUUUAUGAACCGUUACAAUGUCACCAGAUGUUACCUGUUGUGAAUGGUUAUUUUUAUACACCUUUACAAUGUUACCUGUUGUGAAUAGUUAUUUUUAUAAACCUUUACAAUAUCACCAGA